rnacentral:rRNA from 1 species
GACGAACGCUGGCGGCGUGCUUAACACAUGCAAGUCGAACGGAAAGGCCCUGCUUUGGUGGGGUGCUCGAGUGGCGAACGGGUGAGUAACACGUGAGUAACCUGCCCUUGACGUUGGGAUAACUUCAGGAAACUGGGGCUAAUACCGGAUAGGAGCUCCUGCUGCAUGGUGGGGGUUGGAAAGUUUCGGCGGUUGGGGAUGGACUCGCGGCUUAUCAGCUUGUUGGUGGGGUAGUGGCUUACCAAGGCUUUGACGGGUAGCCGGCCUGAGAGGGUGACCGGCCACAUUGGGACUGCGAUAGGGCCCAGACUCCUACGGGAGGCAGUAGUGGGGAGUAUUACAGAGUGGGCGGAAGCCUGAUGCGGACACGCCGCGUGCGGGAUGACGGCCUUCGGGUUGUAAACCGCUUUCGCCUGUGACGAAGCGUGAGUGACGGUAAUGGGUAAAGAAGCACCGGCUAACUACGUG